rnacentral:rRNA from 1 species
UUGAACGCUGGCGGCAGGCCUAACACAUGCAAGUCGAGCGGAUGAAGGGAGCUUGCUCCUGGAUUCAGCGGCGGACGGGUGAGUAAUGCCUAGGAAUCUGCCUGGUAGUGGGGGAUAACGUCCGGAAACGGGCGCUAAUACCGCAUACGUCCUGAGGGAGAAAGUGGGGGAUCUUCGGACCUCACGCUAUCAGAUGAGCCUAGGUCGGAUUAGCUAGUUGGUGGGGUAAAGGCCUACCAAGGCGACGAUCCGUAACUGGUCUGAGAGGAUGAUCAGUCACACUGGAACUGAGACACGGUCCAGACUCCUACGGGAGGCAGUAGUGGGGAAUAUUGGACAAUGGGCGAAAGCCUGAUCCAGCCAUGCCGCGUGUGUGAAGAAGGUCUUCGGAUUGUAAAGCACUUUAAGUUGGGAGGAAGGGCAGUAAGUUAAUACCUUGCUGUUUUGACGUUACCAACAGAAUAAGCACCGGCUAACUUCGUG